rnacentral:sRNA from 1 species
AGACUGAGCCUUUCAGGCAUCCUCUCCUAAAAACUUUCAGGGUCGCCUUGGCGGCCCUUUCUUUUUGCUUGC